rnacentral:snoRNA from 1 species
UGCCUUCAGGUGUUGCCCUUUCAUUGCCCCCCUUGAUGAAAGAGGCGUCAGCAAAGGCAAACAUCAAGUCCUGGGUCGGCCUCUGACCGGUUCCUCAAUGGUGACCUGGUCAGAAGCUCCAUACCAAGAUCAGAG